rnacentral:rRNA from 1 species
GACGAACGCUGGCGGUGUGCUUAACACAUGCAAGUCGAACGGUAAGGCCCUUUCGGGGGUACACGAGUGGCGAACGGGUGAGUAACACGUGAGUAACCUGCCCUCAUCUCUGGGAUAACAGUCGGAAACGGUUGCUAGUACUGGAUAUGAGCUUGCAAGGCAUCUUGUGGGUUGGAAAGAUUUUUUUUGGUUGGGGAUGGACUCGCGGCCUAUCAGCUUGUUGGCGAGGUAGUGGCUCACCAAGGCUUCGACGGGUAGCCGGCCUGAGAGGGCGACCGGCCACAUUGGGACUGAGAUACGGCCCAAACUCCUACGGGAGGCAGCAGUGGGGAAUAUUGCACAAUGGACGGAAGUCUGAUGCAGCAACGCCGCGUGCGGGAUGACGGCCUUCGGGUUGUAAACCGCUUUCAAUUGUGACGAAGCUUUUUUGUGACGGUAGCAGUAGAAGAAGCACCGGCUAACUACGUG